rnacentral:rRNA from 1 species
AGGAUGAACGCUGGCGGUCUGCUUAACACAUGCAAGUCGAACGGAGUACCUCGGUACUUAGUGGCGGACGGGUGAGUAACGCGUGAGAAUCUGCACUUAGGUCGGGGACAACCAUUGGAAACGAUGGCUAAUACCGGAUAAGCCGAGAGGUAAAAGAUUAAUUGCCUAGGGAAGAGCUCGCGUCUGAUUAGCUAGUUGGUGAGGUAAAGGCUCACCAAGGCAUCGAUCAGUAGCUGGUCUGAGAGGAUGAUCAGCCACACUGGGACUGAGACACGGCCCAGACUCCUACGGGAGGCAGCAGUGGGGAAUUUUCCGCAAUGGGCGAAAGCCUGACGGAGCAAGACCGCGUGAGGGAGGAAGGCUCUUGGGUUGUAAACCUCUUUUCUUGGGGAAGAACAAAAUGACGGUACCCAAGGAAUCAGCAUCGGCUAACUCCGUGCCAGCAGCCGC